rnacentral:rRNA from 1 species
AGAGUUUGAUCAUGGCUCAGAAUAAACGCUGGCGGCGUGCUUAACACAUGCAAGUCGAGCGCGAACGGCCUUGGGGCUUAGUAAAGCGGCGAACGGGUGAGUAACGCGUAGGAAUCUACCUUUUAGUGAGGAAUACCCUCGAGAAAUCGAGGUUAAUACUGCAUACGUCUUGAAAAAGAGAAAGAUGGCUUAAUUGCUGUCGCUAAAAGAUGAGCCUGCGUACUAUUAGCUAGUUGGUGGGGUAAUGGCCUACCAAGGCGAUGAUGGUUAGCCGGCCUGAGAGGGUGUACGGCCACACUGGAACUUAGACACGGUCCAGACUCCUACGGGAGGCAGCAGUGAGGAAUAUUGCGCAAUGGGCGAAAGCCUGACGCAGCGACGCCGCGUGGAGGAUGAAGGUCUUAGGAUUGUAAACUUCUGUUAAGUGGGAAGAAAGGCAAAGUUUGAUAACGACUUUGAGAUGACGGUACCAUUAGAGAAAGCACCGGCUAACUUCGUGCCAGCCGCCGCGGUAAUUC